UCAAAUGCAAAGAAAAGAAGGAGUAAAUCUACUGAUUUUGCACAGAGAGAGGGAAUAGCUGAGACCCCUUGGAAUAGGCAGAUUGAAGCAGUCUUGGAGCAUAAAUCUUGAACGUAUUUUACUAUUAGAGAUUUACGGUAGCGACGUUAUAGCUAAGGAUUACCGGAGAAGCAGAUUUUAUCUGUAAAUUAGGGUGGUACCGCGAAUAAUACUCGCCCCUAUG
rnacentral:ncRNA from 1 species